GAUGAACGCUGGCGGCGUGCCUAAUACAUGCAAGUCGAGCGAACAGACGAGGAGCUUGCUCCUCUGACGUUAGCGGCGGACGGGUGAGUAACACGUGGAUAACCUACCUAUAAGACUGGGAUAACUUCGGGAAACCGGAGCUAAUACCGGAUAAUAUAUUGAACCGCAUGGUUCAAUAGUGAAAGACGGUUUUGCUGUCACUUAUAGAUGGAUCCGCGCCGCAUUAGCUAGUUGGUAAGGUAACGGCUUACCAAGGCGACGAUGCGUAGCCGACCUGAGAGGGUGAUCGGCCACAAUGGAACUGAGACACGGUCCAGACUCCUACGGGAGGCAGCAGUAGGGAAUCUUCCGCAAUGGGCGAAAGCCUGACGGAGCAACGCCGCGUGAGUGAUGAAGGUCUUCGGAUCGUAAAACUCUGUUAUUAGGGAAGAACAAAUGUGUAAGUAACUAUGCACGUCUUGACGGUACCUAAUCAGAAAGCCACGGCUAACUACGUG
rnacentral:rRNA from 1 species